rnacentral:rRNA from 1 species
UACGUAGGGUGCAAGCGUUGUCCGGAAUUAUUGGGCGUAAAGAGCUCGUAGGCGGUCUGUCGCGUCUGCUGUGAAAACCUAGGGCUUAACUCUGGGCGUGCAGUGGGUACGGGCAGGCUAGAGUGCGGUAGGGGGAGACUGGAAUUCCUGGUGUAGCGGUGAAAUGCGCAGAUAUCAGGAGGAACACCGGUGGCGAAGGCGGGUCUCUGGGCCGAUACUGACACUGAGGAGCGAAAGCGUGGGGGAGCGAACAGG